AAAUAGACGUCCGAGAUUCGUCCACAUCACCAUGAGUUAAAAUUUAACUCCCAGUAAAAUUUUAACUUAUGAGUGAAUCUGCAAGUUAAAUUUUAACUCAUGGUGAUGUGGACGAAUCUCGAACGUCCAUUU
rnacentral:pre_miRNA from 1 species